UACGGGGGGAGCAAGCGUUGUUCGGAUUUACUGGGCGUAAAGGGCGCGUAGGCGGUCAGCACAAGUCAGUUGUGAAAUCUCCGGGCUUAACUCGGAAAGGUCAACUGAUACUGUGCGACUAGAGUGCAGAAGGGGCAACUGGAAUUCUCGGUGUAGCGGUGAAAUGCGUAGAUAUCGAGAGGAACACCUGUGGCGAAGGCGGGUCUCUGGGCCGUAACUGACGCUGAGGAGCGAAAGCAUGGGGAGCGAACAGG
rnacentral:rRNA from 1 species